GGUACAUGCUUUAAGAGGUCCAGCUUUGUUUGGAGGGUGAGAUUUGUCUUCCAUGUGGAAUUACUUGCUUGAGGACAGGUGUGAAUUAGAUACCCAUCUGAAUUAGCAGAUGACAGUGGUAUGGGCAAAAAGAUAAUUACUUGAGAUGAGCUGGAGAACAUGUACAACAUGAACAUGUACAUUAUUUUGCUUAUCCCCUUUUUUUCCCUUUUUAGGUCUGCACCCAAGACAUAUGGAAGUUCCCAGGCUAGGGGUCAAAUUGGAGCUGUAGCUGUCAGCAAAUGCCACAGCCACAGCAACGUGGGAUCCUUAACCCACUGAGCUAGACCAGCGAUCAAACCUCAUGGUCCCUCCUUAGCUAAUAGAUUGGUUACCUGCUGAGCCACAACCAGAACUUCUGUUUUGCUUAUCUUAAAUCUUCCAAGAGAUUUUUAAAAUUAUCUUACUUACCAGUAAUUAUACUGUGGCACUGAAGAAAACUGUCAAGGUAGUGAGGGUCAUCCUCUUGACUCUGUGAGUAAAAAUACUGGGUAGGAUAAGCUAAUUUCCCUUUCCUCCUUUCUUCCUUCCUUCCUUUCUUCCUCCCUCCCUCCCUUGCUUCUUUCCUUCUUUCCCUUUCUUUCUUUCCUUCCUUCCUUCCUCCCUCCCUCCCUCCCUCCCUCCUCCUUUCUUUCUUUCUUUCUUUCUUUCUUUCUUUCUUUCUGCCCGCCCGCCCGCCUGCCUGCCUGCCUGCCUGCCUGUCUUCUUUUCUCCCUCUCUCCAUCCUUCUUUCCUUUAGCAUAGAAAAUUAACUUUGUAUUUAUCUCAAGGAGGAAUAUUAGCCCAUUUAAGGGUUAUUUUCUUUAAGCCCAUUAUAUAAAUAAAGUCAUAAAUUGUUACAAUUUUGUGAGGUCUUUGUGUGGAUAUGGGUAGAUAAAACUUAGUUGUAAACAUUUUAGAGAGAUGACAAUGUAAAAGACAGUGGUGGUUGAUAUAGAUAUAUAGUUACUAUAGUUCUUAUUUGAUGAAGUCCUCUUUCCUUGUCUUCAUCCACAUGUGUCUCAAUAUUUUUUUGUCUAAAAUAAAAAAAAAAAAAUAGGUGACAGUAUGAAGAAAAGUUUAGUGGAUACUUUUGGUGCUUCAUGCAGAUCCCUUUCACCAGAGCCAUUAAUCUAUUUCCUGUAAAUUGAGCUAUGACUGGCUCAAAAUAACUUUUUUUCUUUUCCCAAAAAAUUACCCAAGAAAUUGCUCUAGAACUAAAAGACAGGUUCUCAACCUUUAGGAGAUAUUAGAAUAUUCUGGAAGUAAUGUAAAAACAGAUUUCUGGCCCCAUACCACUUCAAGAUCUUGAGUGAGGAAUUAGAAUUUGCAUUUCUAACAAGUUCCCUGUGUUGGUGAGGUACUACGUUUAAGGAAAUUGCCUUUCUGGGUUUCUUUACCCUCCUGCAAGAGAAUGGCCCAGGGAGAAAAAUGUAGGAAAAAUCUUGGGUGUGAUUUUUCCUCAAAAGGCAUCUUCUUCAUUGGAUCAGACCAAGAAAAGGUUUUCUCUGGGUCCAAGUCUUAUUUGGCUCUUUUCCCUUCACUAUAUUGGUUACUUGACUUUCUCAAAGGGCUUUUCUUUCAAAAGCACACUCUCCCAAUAAAUCACUAGAAGCCCAGACUCAAGCUCUGUUUCUAGAGAAUGAACCUAAGAAAGACUAAGAACAUUGUUUUCUUCAAGGUAAUUAAACAUGUUAUAAUUAUUAAUUGUCUUGAUUCCAUAUAUUCUUAUUUGGUUUGUUAUAUUUGUUAAAUUGAGGCCAAAAUAUAAAUCCACCGUUGUUUUGGGAUCAGAGUUGAGAUCUUGGAUUAGCUGAUGCUCAGACUUGUUUACCAGAAUAAAAUCAGAAUUGAGCCAGAAAAAACCUCUCUUGUUGGACUUUUUUGCCUCCUUACCUAUCCCUUUCUCUUCUCAUCUAGGGUUGAACAGAAAAGUUAGUUCUAUUAACUGAUCUUGGAAGUAAAAAAACUUUAGCUCAUAUUUUCAAAGAUAAUCUCUUGAUUUAAUGAAGAUAUGAUCUAUAGAAUACAUCUAGUUGUAGUUGCUAUUGAAUAUACUUUCUAGCAGGCUAUCUAAGAAUAUAAACCUAUAUGGUAGUAAAUAGAGAAAAGAAAAAAAAUAUCUCAUUUAGAUAAAUCUAUCUGCAUUAUAAUUACUGCAGAAUUUAUGUACUUUGGGCACAUUUUUAUAUUUUUUUGAUGUUUGAAUAUUUACAUUUUUUCUGAAAUUUGUUUUUAUUCUGAUCAUUUUGAGUUAGAAAUACUGUCACCAUUAUUCAUCUAACAGAUAAAUAUAUAAGUUUAAUUUGAAUAAGUUAGCGUGGAGGCCCUCUUGUUCUUGUCUUCAGGCAGCUGCUCAAGAAAAGUGGAAGGAAUAAUUUUGAGAGACCAAUAAGAUAUUUCUUUUGAAUAACUUUAAUAAACGUAAGGCUUAGUGAUUUAUAGGAGAGAAGGAAUUGCUUGUGAUGUGGUUCCUAUCCACUAAUGUACAUACUCUUGGCUUUCACAGACCUAAAGGGACAAGAAAUACACACACACACACACACAUCCAUGUCUUAUGUAGUUAUGUGGGCAUGUGAGUUACAGAUUAAGAAAUGCAUAUUGUAAAAGAAAAUAUUUUGUGAUGACAUAAAGAGUAAAUUAUGUUGCUAAACUUAAUCUACAGUUCCAUAUCAAGGAAAAUAUUCAGAGAAAUAUCCACUUACAUACUUAUCAGUGAUUUAUUAAUUGUAGACAUUAAUCUAUUAUUUUUUGUUCAUAUAUGAGUCUCAUUUAGCAAGUGAAAAAAAAAAAACUCAAAAGGCUUAUAGAAGGGGAAAGUGAUAUAUUCACCAAAUAUACCAUCAAUAAAGGAGGAAUUUUACAUGGCUAUUUGAAUUUAAAUUCUGCUUUUCCAAAGGAAGCAAAGUGUUAUUUUUACUUAACUGCAAAAUUAUUUCAUAUAUUUUAAAUAAGACAUCAGAGAUUUUUAGGAUUUAAGUGCCUAUAAACUAAUUAAGAUUUUAUUCCUUGAAAAAAAUGCGGAAUGGUUUCUCUAAGGUUUCUUCUUCUCAAAUCAGCUUUUUACCGUCUGAGACUAGCUUGUGUAGUUUCAGAUACCAGUUCUAAUACUUAUUACCUCUUUAAAUAUAUUAUUUAAUACAAUGUCUUUACAAUGUCUUGGUUUUCUAGAUUGUGAAAUAGGAAAUAGAUUACUGACCUCAUACUUGCUGUGAUCAUUACCUAAAUUUGCAUCUACAGAGUGUUGAAUAGUAAGUGCCUAUCAUACAGCUCUGCAGAUAUAUAUGUGCUUCUUUUUAUUGCCCCUAAAUAUUCAUAUUCCAGGUCUUUUUAUUGUAAUCAGAAUACUUCAUAUUUAAAUACAUUUGCUAUUUAAGAGAUAAAACCUCUAAUUCUUGCAAAAAUUGUCCACAGAAACACAUUUCAUUUUAUCACUUACAAUGCAGUUUAAAAAAAGAAAUACAAGAAUACAUUUAAGAAUCAAAUUUACUAUACAAGUGUUCUAACUAUGUUAGACUAAAUAAGGUAUUGGAAGUAUUUUAUAAACUUUAAGUCCAAUAAAAUUUACGGUGACAUUAUUCUUAUCUAUGCUCCUACCCUCUACCCUAAUAGUGAAAAUCCUUUUAAAAGUGGAAAUUUUCAUACUUAUAUCUGAGACUUAUGAUAAUUUCAUAAAUGAAUACAUUAAUUAGUGCUUUAUUUUCCAUCAAAUGUGAAGAAAAAAUUUUGUGUGCCUACAAUGUAAACACAAGAGACAGAGCCCUAGGUCUUAGGGAUAACAUUCUGGUGAAUCACAUGCAGGCAAUAAAAAUACUAACAAAUAAAAUUUUAGAUACCACUAUGUGAUAUAAAAUUAAAAAGCUGAGCAAUGGAAUAAAGAAUAACGUGGGGGAGAAGGUACAUAGAGGAAUUGCUUUAGCCAUGAUUGUUAGAGAAGGCUUCUCUGGAGAACUGAGAUAUGAAAAGAGGUCAGGUUUGGGGAGAUCUAGUAGUAAAAGGACAAUCCAAAUCAUAGCAUAAAAUACCUUAGCAUGUUUUAGGGACACAAUAAAGGCCAAUAGGAAUGAAACAUAAUGACCGAGUGGAAGAAAGAAGAGAAAAGAGAUCAGAGAUGCAGGCAUCAGUCAGAACAUGUAGUGCCUUGCAGAACAGAAUAUAAGUUGAUAUAUUUAUUCUGGUUGCAAUGGGUUGCCACUAGAGAGUUCUAAGAGGAGUGUGUUGUGAGAUUUAUGCUAUCCAUAGCUACAAAAAGCAGAAUAUCAGAAAUCCUUUGAGAGCCCAGCUUAUUAAAGUCCCAUCUGUCAAAUCGUAAUGUAUUUAUCAUUUUAAUGGGCACUAAUCAUAUUUUGAAGGUAUUAUACAUUCAGAAGUUAUCUUGUAAAUCAUUGGAUUUUUAUACCACUGACAACAUUUGGACUCAGAGGUACAGGUGUAGGGAAUAAAGCUUUGGUAGAAGAAUCACCCUGCACAUCUCUAAUCAGCCACUGUUCAUAAUUAGGUAAGUAACUCUUCACAUAGAUACCUUCAUGUUUUUCUCUCUCUAGGCUUGCAAGCCUCAGUGGAAGUCUGUUGUAUUUAUUGAGUAGUAAAUUAACAUCACAGUGAUUCAAGCAACAACAUUUUUUUUUUUUUCUUUCAUUUCUGUUAAAAUUUCAGCCUGUCUGCCUUCCCUGCUACAAUACUCUGACAACAGAGCCAACUUACAAACUGGACGUAGAGAUCAUUUUGAUUUUGUCAAAUCGUUUUAUUUUUAUUCUGUUUUUUGACAGAAACAAAAUGAUUAUUUUUUAGUUUACAAAUUAAAAAAUAAAUAAAUAGUAGAGAUUGUACUGAAACCCAAUCCUAAAACAUUUUAUAUAGGCAAUGCUAGAUAUCUCCUUACACAAGAAGAGCCAUAGCUACUUCAAAUUCUCUAAUUCCUUUAAAGUUUCAUUGAAUAUACUUUAGGAGAAAUAUCAAUUGCUUUAGAAAGCAGUCUUUCAAAGGGGCCUAUUUGAUAAGCUUUAUAUGGAUAACAAAACACACACAGUGUUACUAUACAAAGGGAGAAAUUGUCAUUAUAAAAGAUGUGAAUAAUCUUAAUCCAAGUAUCAUCCACUGAGUCACUUACAGAACAGGGAAAAUGACUUGGAAAUUGACUGUUUUGAGCUAAUUGAAC
rnacentral:lncRNA from 1 species